GGUUGAUCCUGCCAGUAAUUGUAUGCUUGUUUUGAAGAUUAAGCCAUGCAAGUGUAAGUCCACCAGCUGACUCCCACAGGAGAGACUUGGGAAACCGCAGACGGCUCAGUAGAACGGACGCAAUUCCUUUGGGCGUGGGGGAGAGAUGGAUAACUCUGGAAACGCUAGAGCUAAUACAUGGUUCAGGAGAAGCCGCACUCCGGCGGGUUCGCCCGUCUGGGGGGAGGCGGAGUCAUUGUCUGAAGGGUCGGACCAAUGUAGCGCUGUCAAUUUCCAGAGCAAGGGACCGAUCGCUCAUGCCCCAGGGGCAGGCGACACGCCCAGUGAUCGUCCGACCUAUUACGACCAGACCGGUGGGUAGUGGCCCCCGGUGGUUGUGAUGGGUGACGGGGAAUCAGGGUUCGAUUCCGGAGAGGGAGCCUGAGAGAUGGCUACCACCCCUAUGGGAGGCAGCAGGCGCGCAACUUACCCAAUCCUGGCACGGGGAGGUAGUGAGGAGAAAUAACAGUGUGGGGUGUCAGCAUGAGGCCCCGCUUCCGGAAUGAGUGCUUCCUAAAUGCCACAGCGAAGAGCCAUCGGAGGGCAAGUCUGGUGCCAGCAGCCACGGUAAUUCCAGCUCCGAUAGCAUACAUUAAAGUUGCUGCAGUUAAAGCGCUCGGAGUUGGAGGUGAGCGGCGACACAGUCGGCGUCCCUCCGAGGUCCAUGCCAAUCCGGUCCCGCCUGGGUUUGCCUGAUGGACCGGGGUGCCCUUGGCCGGGUGCCUGCCGGGGAUGCGGCAGAAGGUUACCUUGAAAAAAUUAGAGUGCUCCAAGCGGGCCGGUGGUUGCCUGGAUAGAGGAAUCAUGGAAUAACGGAAAGGGGACAGCAUGGCUGUUGCCCAGGUCCGUUGGUCCAAGGCCACGUUAUAGACAAUUGAGAGGGAUGGCUGGGGGCAUUGGUACUGUGGGGCGAGAGGUGAAAUUCUGGGACCCUUGCAAGACCCACCACAGCGAAAGCAUUUGCCAAGAAUGUCUUCCUUAAUCCAGAACGAAAGUCAGAGGAUCGAAGGCGAUUAGAUACCGCUCUAGUUCUGACCGUAAAUGGUGCCGACCGGCAAUCCGUGGCGUUUGUAGUCCGAACGCCAUGGGCAUCCUCCCAGGAAACCAAAGUCUUUGGGCUCUGGGGGGAGUAUGGUUGCAAAACUGAAACUUAAAGGAAUUGACAGAAAGGCACCACCAGGAGUGGAGCCUGCAGCUCAAUUCGACUCAACACGGGGAACCUCACCAGGUCCGGACGCCGGAAGGAUUGACAGACCAAGAGACCUUUCUUGAUUCGGUGGGUGGUGGUGCAUGGCCGUUCUUAGUUGGUGGAGUGAUUUGUCUGGUCAAUUCCGGUAAUGAACGAGGUUCCACCCCUCGGUUGUGGCGUGGGCCGAAAUCUCCAGGCACCACAUCUUCUCCCGACCCUAACUUCCUUCCAGGGGGAAUGGGGCUGGGGGCCAGCGUUCAGCAGGCCCGUCGUCCAUCGGUGUAGCUCUGAGGGGACCGGCAGUGGAGGGAGCCACAGGAGGUGCGGAGCGAUAACAGGUGCCCUUAGAUGUCCUGGGCCGCACACGCGCUACAAUGAUGGCGUCAGCGGGCUUCCCCUCUGAGAGGAGUGGACAAUCCCUGAAACGCCAUCGUGGUGGGGGUCGGGGCUUGCAAUGUUUCCCAUGAACCGGGAAUCCCCUGUAGGGGCCGGUAACCAGCCGGCCCCGAACGAGUCCCUGCCCUUUGUACACACCGCCCGUCACUACUACCAAUGGCCGGGUGGGUGAGGGCCUUGGACUGGGGACCAGAUGCACCGCCACCAAGGCGGGGCGAGACAGACCCCGGGAAGGCGUCCGAACCUGUUCGGCUAGAGGAAGUAAAAGUCGUAACAAGGUUUCCGUAGGUGAACCUGCGGAAGGAUCAUU
rnacentral:rRNA from 1 species